ACUCAAAUGAAUAGACGGGGAACCGCACAAGCAGAGGAUGAUGUGGUUUAAUAUGACGCUACGCGUAGAACCUUACCCAGGCUUGACAUCCUUGGAAUCCGCCGGAAACGGUGGAGUGCCCUCGGGAGCCAAGUGACAGGUGCUGCAUGGCCGUCGUCAGCUCGUGUCGUGAGAUGUUGGGUUAAGUCCCGCAACGAGCGCAACCCUUAUCGUAUGUUGUAUUUUUCAUACGAGACUGCCCGGGCCAACCGGGAGGAAGGUGGGGAUGAAGUCAGGUCGGCAUGGCCCUUACGCCUGGGGCUACUCACGUCAUACAAUGGCCAGUACAACGCGUUGCGAAACCGCGAGGUGGAGCUAAUCGCAUCAAAACUGGUCUCAGUUCGGAUUGGAGGCUGCAACUCGCCUCCAUGAAGUCGGAUUUGCUAGUAAACGUGGGUCAGCAUACCACGUUGAAUACGUUCCCGGUUCUUGCACACACCGCCCGU
rnacentral:rRNA from 1 species